rnacentral:misc_RNA from 1 species
GCUGUAUUGCAUGUUAUAUGUGCUCGAGCCCUUUUUUUCUUUUAUUUUUGUGCUGUAAUUGUUCUUAUACUGUGUAUUUCUCCAGGUUUUUACACUUAACAUGUUUUGUCCUAGGUUGGGUGUUUUGAGGAGGUUUGAUGAUCUGAUAGCAGGUGAACGAUACAUGUUGAGUUUUUUCUUGAUAAUUAUUAUUGAUAAAAUUUCUGCUUAUAAAAAAACGUGCCAAACUCUCUCUCUCUCUGUUUUUCUUGUUUAAUUAUGUGUGUAGGUUCAUUGCUUUUAG